GAGACCCAAUCUGCAUCACGAAAACAGUUAGCGCCCGCAAAAGUCAGCAAAAAUAAAAACACCGCCUCAUUACCAAAAAAAAAAAAAAAAGUUCCCUUCUUAUGGCGGUUUUCCCUUGUUGCUUUAAAACACUUGACAUCUCUGAUUCUUUCUUCUCUGCUGACUCUGCAAACAAAUUCGUGUUUGUCACUGAAGCCGUUACCGUUUUGAUUUUCCUCGCUUUUUCUUUCCUCCCAAGUUUUUCAUCAAACAUGAACUUAUACUAAUUCUUCAAUACACAAACACAAUUACUUAACGUUCUUUGCUAUUAGUUUUCUUUUUCUCUCAUCUUAUAUAUACAAAUAAUUGUAUACAAUUCUUUUGUUCUCUUUCUUUCUAAUUCAUUGCAUAAUGGAGAGACGGACUUACGAUGACUCCGCGAAUUUGGCGUCGGAGAUCUCAAUUUCAGAUUACGCCAGCGGCGACGAAGACUCCUCGGUUUCAGAUUGCGAGAGCAGCGUCUCCGGUGAUGCACGCAACGUGUUCGAUGAAAGGUUCGUGAGACUCUCCGAAGGAGACAAGGCUCGCGACCUCGUUCAGAGCAGAUUAGUUAAGGGACUAGCAUCGUGCGGGUUGAAAUCCAACGUCGUUUCGGUUCACAGAAAUGCGUGGCGUUCUGUAAUGGCGCAGGCGCGUGGUCAGUGCUUCCAGAUCUUCGCGCGUGCCGUUGCGAAAUUGCGUGGCGGCGAUCCCAACGUGAAGUAUGCAUGGUAUGGUGCUUCGAGCAAGGAAGAGGUUGAAGACAUUAUUGAGCACGGUUUCGGUGGGAAGAUGCCUCUCCGUGACGGACUUCGUCUUUCGCCGGAUGAUUCUCCUCUCAAAAGUGUGAAAAGCUGUGGCGUUGACAAAGAUGGUGUGAGGCAUGUGAUUCUGUGCCGUGUUAUCUUGGGGAGAGUGGAGAUGGUGCCACGUGGCUCCGAUCCAUGCGGUUCAAGUUCGGAAGAUUAUGAUUCCGGUAUGGACGGCAGCUUCUCAUCUCCCGAGGGGUACGUCAUUUGGAGUCAACGGGUCAACACGCAUGUCUUGCCUGAAUUCGUUAUAAGCUUUAAACUUCAUCCCUCAAAAGGUCAUGUGAGGAUUGAAGAGCCUUUGAAACCUUCUUCCCCUUGGAUGCCAUUCCCCGCUCUGAUUUCUGUGCUUUCUAAGAUUUUGCCUUCCUCUGAUAUUGCCUUGAUUUCCAAGUUUCACAAAGAUUAUAAAGAAAAGAAAAUUUCACGGCAUCAAUUGAUACAGAAAGUAAGAGUAAUAGCAGGAGACAAACUGCUCGUUGCGGCCAUCAAAUCUUUUAGGGAGAAGUUACAAGCACAACACUCUAGUACUGCAGUUCAAGUCGAUAAGACUAUAUCAUGGUUCACAGACGAUGCUAUGCUAUAUUGAAUUAGGCAAAGAUUGCUUUGCACUGUAUGAAUUUGAAUGGCAUUUGAGCAUUGGUGAAUGUUUAGCAUUACCCGACAUUCUGAAGUAUUAAGAACUAGUGGCAUGUAAAUUGGGGAAAUGAAAUCACCUACCCUCAAGUUAAAGAUAUUGGGGUCUUAAAUUGCUGGAGCAGCAAAACUGGCUGAAGACACAGUAAUAUGUGUUUCCUGCUCAGCAUAGAAUCUCUUCCCCCUCCCCCUUCUCUCCCAAGUGCUUCUGUUGAAGUCGAUAUUAUUUAUGGUCAUGACUGAAAUGAAGAGGGUAUCCAGUUUUUACCUGGUAUUGUAUUUGGAAAUAAAGAAAAAGAAAAUACCUGCAAGCUUUAAACAUGCAAGGUCAUGGCAACCGGAAAACCAUCUUGGUGGACAGAAUAUGGUGUCUUUUAUGAACUGUGUUAGUGGAUUGAAGGGAGGGAGGAAUACAGAACGUGAUAUAAGGCCUUACUAACUUGGUAGCCAAACUUACUUUGAGGUUGGAAGAAGUUGUUUAGAAGCAGAGUCGCAUUUGGAACUUCUAUUCUUUCCUUUGUGAUACAUAUUUUCUAUUGUUGUUGAAUGUAGUUUAGGACAAGGUCUUCGUUAUUCUAGUUACAAUUUACAAAAUGAAAUGAUGUAAUCAAUGAUUAAUAAGACACACAUUGAAUAGACUCCUCAGUUACAAAUGCAACAUCUAUCAGAUAUAUGUUGUUUGCACUUGUUUAGCAA